ensembl:snRNA U2 U2 spliceosomal RNA
UGUCCUCCAUUGGAGGUCUAUAUUGAGCAGAUUCUUUUUGCUGUUGGGUGGUGGAACCGGAGCUUGCUCCAUCAACUCCAUGCAUUGACCUGGUAUAACAGUGCUUCCAGGACAGAUGC